UUUGGUUGAUGCAUUUGGUUUCUGUUGUGAUUUAAGGCGUUUCGAGCAUUGCUUGCAUUUAACAUAAUGAUGCUAUACUGUGAUAGGGAUACACACAUAAGUUUGAGAUUGCAGAGACAUGUUUUGGAGAGAUGGGAAGCCAUUUAGGAUAAUUGGAGGAGACUUGCAUUAUUUCCGAGUGCAUCCUAAGUUGUGAGUGUUGGUGCAGCUCUCUUCUUGUUACAGCAGCUUGCUGGGAUCAAUGCAGUUGUUUACUACUCUUGAUGCUCUAUAUAGUGAUUCUUUGUUGGCUCUUUGUAUGAUUUUGUGGCAGGUUUGUGGUGGAUUAAAUGAGUCGUACGUUGAGCUGAAGAGGCUUGUGAAUUCCCAAGAAAAGUUGUACCAUAUGGCUAGCUAGUUGCAUAUUUAAUAUGUUUAGUAUUUUUGUAAGGCAUAAUAGUAUAGAUAGAGCAGUUGUUGAAUUUUGACUAUAUUCAAAUCUUGUAUGAAUUCUUUUUUAUGAUAAUAAUAUAAAAUUAAAUA